rnacentral:rRNA from 1 species
UCAACUUGAGAGUUUGAUCCUGGCUCAGAACGAACGCUGGCGGCAGGCCUAACACAUGCAAGUCGAGCGAACCCUUCGGGGUUAGCGGCGGACGGGUGAGUAACGCGUGGGAACGUGCCCUUUGCUACGGAAUAGCCCCGGGAAACUGGGAGUAAUACCGUAUACGCCCUUAGGGGGAAAGAUUUAUCGGCAAGGGAUCGGCCCGCGUUGGAUUAGGUAGUUGGUGGGGUAAUGGCCUACCAAGCCGACGAUCCAUAGCUGGUUUGAGAGGAUGAUCAGCCACACUGGGACUGAGACACGGCCCAGACUCCUACGGGAG